rnacentral:rRNA from 1 species
AUUGAACGCUGGCGGCAUGCCUUACACAUGCAAGUCGAACGGUAGGGGGGGCAAUCCCCUGAGAGUGGCGAACGGGUGAGUAAAGCAUCGGAACGUGCCCAGUUGUGGGGGAUAACUACUCGAAAGAGUGGCUAAUACCGCAUACGACCUGAGGGUGGAAGCGGGGGACCGAAAGGCCUCGCGCAGUUGGAGCGGCCGAUGUCAGAUUAGCUAGUUGGGGGGGUAAAGGCCCACCAAGGCGACGAUCUGUAGCUGGUCUGAGAGGACGACCAGCCACACUGGGACUGAGACACGGCCCAGACUCCUACGGGAGGCAGCAGUGGGGAAUUUUGGACAAUGGGCGCAAGCCUGAUCCAGCCAUGCCGCGUGCAGGAAGAAGGCCUUCGGGUUGUAAACUGCUUUUGUCAGGGAAGAAAUCCCUUGGGUUAAUACCUCGGGGGGAUGACGGUACCUGAAGAAUAAGCACCGGCUAACUACGUGCCAGCCGCCGCAGUAAAAC